CGUGGAUAAUCUUCCCCUCGGGCGGGGGAUAACAUUCCGAAAGGAGUGCUAAUACCGCAUAAGACCACGAGCUCGAAAGGGCUUGAGGUAAAAGCUGGCCUCUAUACAUAAGCUUGCACCUUUGGACGGGCCCGCGGCCCAUCAGCUAGUUGGUAGGGUAAUGGCCUACCAAGGCUAAGACGGGUAACUGGUCUGAGAGGAUGAUCAGUCACACUGGGACUGAGACACGGCCCAG
rnacentral:rRNA from 1 species